GGUGGAAGGGAGAGGCUGUGGGGAAACUCUACCAAAUGUGUUAGUGUACGUAUGCUGUGUAGUUAGAUGCAAGAGUGGAUAAUGAUAGCAAUGGAAGGAGGUGCAGCAAAAGUGGGUCUCCAUUAAUAAGGUAGGGAAUAAGGUUAAGGAGUUUAAGGCAGUGGUCUGAAAGGAAAAUCUAGAAGGAGUCAGAUUUCAGUGUUGGAGCACUCAUUGCAAUGAGUCACUGAGAGAGCCUGAGAGCUGCCUUUGUUUCACUCGAACGCUGGAGGAGACAACAGACUCCAAUUUUUAUUAACUUUUUAUUUUCAGAAGUAAAAAUUCAUGUUCACUGAAUAUUUUUCCCACUUAAGGUCUUUCAACAAACUUUAAAAAAAAUGCUCUCAAGGCAUUGCUGGCGGCCCUGGAAUUUGCUAUUGCUGCACUGGGGUUCAUUUCUCCCUGUUGUUUUAGCGGCUCAGGUCAUAGAAGAUGAUUUACUUACAUUUUGGAGAGUGAAGGAAGGCCCUGGCUGUGCUCUUUGGCUGCAGCUACAGAGAG